UACGUAGGGGGCAAGCGUUGUCCGGAAUUACUGGGCGUAAAGGGCGUGUAGGCGGCCUUUUAAGUCAGACGUGAAAACCCUGGGCUUAACCCAGGAACUGCGUUUGAAACUGGAAGGCUUGAGGACCGGAGAGGGUAGUGGAAUUCCCAGUGUAGCGGUGAAAUGCGUAGAUAUUGGGAGGAACACCAGUGGCGAAGGCGACUGCCUGGACGGCACCUGACGCUGAGGCGCGAAAGCUAGGGGAGCAAACGGG
rnacentral:rRNA from 1 species